GGACGGGUGAGUAAUGCCUGGGAAUAUGCCCUGAUGUGGGCGAUAACUAUUGGAAACGAUAGCUAAUACCGCAUAAUCUUUUCGGAGCAAAGAGGGGUACCUUCGGGCCUCUCGCGUCAGGAUUAGCCCAGGUGGGAUUAGCUUGUUGAUGAGGUAAUGGCUCACCAAGGCAACGAUCCCUAAGCUGGUCUGAGAGGAUGAUCAGCCACACUGGAACUGAGACACGGUCCAGACUCCUACGGGUGGCAGCAGUGGGGAAUAUUGCACAAUCGGGGAAACCCUGAUGCAGCCAUGCCGCGUGUAUGAACAAGGCCUUCGGGUUGUAAAGUACUUUCAGUAGGGUGGAAGGCAGUGUCGUUAAUAGCGGCAUUGUUUGACGUUACCUACAGAAGAAGCACCGGCUAACUCCGUGCCAGCAGCCGCGGUAAUACGGUGGGUGCGAGCGUUAAUCGGAAUUACUGGGCGUAAAGCGCAUGCAGGCGGUUUGUUAAGCAAGAUGUGAAAGCCCGGGGCUCAACCUCGGAAUAGCAUUUUGAACUGGCAGACUAGAGUCUUGUAGAGGGGGGUAGAAUUUCAGGUGUAGCGGUGAAAUGCGUAGAGAUGUGAAGGAAUACCGGUGGCGAAGGCGGCCCCCUGGACAAAGACUGACGCUCAGAUGCGAAAGCCUGGGGAGCAAACAGGAUUAGAUACCCUGGUAGUCCACGGCGUAAACGAUGUCUACUUGGAGGUUGUGGCCUUGAGCCGUGGCUUUCGGAGCUAACGCGUUAAGUAGACCGCCUGGGGAGUACGGUCGCAAGAUUAAAUCUCAAAUGAAUUGACGGGGGCCCGCACAAGCGGUGGAGCAUGUGGUUUAAUUCGAUGCAACGCGAAGAACCUUACCUACUCUUGACAUCCAGAGAACUUUCCAGAGAUGGAUUGGUGCCUUCGGGAAUUCUGAGACAGGUGCUGCAUGGCUGUCGUCAGCUCGUGUUGUGAAAUGUUGGGUUAAGUCCCGCAACGAGCGCAACCCUUAUCCUUGUUUGCCAGCACUUCGGGUGGGAACUCCAGGGAGACUGCCGGUGAUAUACCGGAGGAAGGUGGGGACGACGUC
rnacentral:rRNA from 1 species